UAUUCCAUAUACAGGUUGCAUGUGUGUUUGC
rnacentral:piRNA from 1 species